rnacentral:rRNA from 1 species
CCAAUAGCGUAUAUUAAAGUUGUUGCAGUUAAAAAGCUCGUAGUUGAACUUCGGGGUUCACCCAUUGGUCAGGCUUAAUUGUCUGUACUGGUGAGAUGAGUCUCUACCUUCUGAGGAACUUUCAUGCCAUUUAUUUGGUGUGGUUGGAAAUCAGGACUGUUACUUUGAAAAAAUUAGAGUGUUUAAAGCAGGCUAACGUCUGAAUACAUUAGCAUGGAAUAAUGAAAUAGGACGGAUUGAUUCUAUUUCGUUGGUUUCUAGGGUCACCGUAAUGAUUAAUAGGAAUAGUUGGGGGCAUUAGUAUUCAAUUGUCAGAGGUGAAAUUCUUGGAUUUAUUGAAGACUAACUACUGCGAAAGCAUUUGCCAAGGAUGUUUUCAUUAAUCAAGAACGAAAGUUAGGGGAUCGAAGACGAUCAGAUACCGUCGUAGUCUUAACCAUAAACUAUGCCGACUAGGGAUCGGACGCAGUUAAUUUUAUAAUGACGUGUUCGGCACCUUACG